CCUCUCUCCCCUUUUCUUUCCUUCCUCUCUGCUCUGAACCUGUCUCCCUCUCCCCCCGCCCCCCUUCCUCCUCCCCAAGUCCGCAUUCCCACUGGCCUCCUGCCCUGUUCUCAGGGAGGCCCCUGCACCCUGCACCCUGGCCCUGAGGCUCCUCUCCUGCCCUGGUGCUCUGAGGCUUCCAGGUCCUGACCAGGAGGCCACACAGGCUCUGUGGCAGGAGGCCAGCCCAGAGCAGAGCCACUGAGCCAGAGGCCCGGGUGUAGAGGGACCCCUGUGACACCCCUUUUCUCUCUUUUCUGUUUGUCCUGGACUGUGGACACUGCCUGGAGGAGUCAGGCCUGCCCAAGCCCAGGAAGGAGGAAGCAAGGAACAGGCUCAGAGACAGGAAGCACAUUGCCUGAAGACACACAGCAUGCAGCAUGGAACACCCCAGUGCUGGGAGGACCUCACCUGACUUGCAUUUCACAGAUGAGAACAUCGGCACCCAGUGUUUCUGAAAACCAGCCACUGCGAGGCUUCCGGGGAACCGACCUUCCCUGAAGGGCCAACAGUGCCCCCUGCAGGGAAUUCUCUCCAUUGCGAGCAGCCACAGGGAUCUGCCUGAGGCAUUCUGAGCGCGUGGGAUCCUCUAUCGCCACCGACUGGCACAGGGUGGAACUGCAACCACGCUGUAUUAGACACUGAGAAUGGUCCCAACAAAAUGAACAAUGACUUGAAUGCCUGGGGCAGGGAUAGGAGCGGUUGGGUGGGGGGUAGUGGAGAGGGAGAAUUUGCAAAUUCUGUAAAAAUAAAAAUUUUACUCCUAAUCAAUGUAUAAACAUCA